UCCCUCCUGACCGCUCUCUAACAGGAGCUUCCCUUCGGGGCGAGAGGUGACAGGUGGUGCAUGGUUGUCGUCAGCUCGUGUCGUGAGAUGUGGGUUAAGUCCCGCAACGAGCGCAACCCUUGUCAUUAGUUGCCAGCAGUUCGGCUGGGCACUCUAGUGAGACUGCCGGGGAUAACUCGGAGGAAGGUGGGGAUGACGUCAAAUCAUCAUGCCCCUUAUGUUCUGGGCUACACACGUGCUACAAUGGCUGGUACAAAGAGACGCAAGACGGUGACGUGGAGCAAAUCUCAAAAACCAGUCCCAGUUCGGAUUGUAGGCUGCAACUCGCCUACAUGAAGUUGGAGUUGCUAGUAAUCGCGAAUCAGAAUGUCGCGGUGAAUGCGUUCCCGGGUCUU
rnacentral:rRNA from 2 species